ACAUGUUUGUUUCUCUCAUGUCCCUCUACCCCAACAGUCUGUCUUUUCCAUUACGUACCCUGAAGGCUAGCGGCAUUUGGCUGCCAAACCACCUCGUAUUUUUUCUGAAAAACACAGAUAUACAACUUGUGCUUCGAAAAUCAAACCUUUGGGAAUUACGAACAUUCAUCUUCACGUAUUACAAGAUGUAUGUGUCUCUAUUUUCAGUUGUAAUUUUUACUUUUAGCCUUUGUGCACAGUCAAAUGCAAGCCCUCACAGCCACAAACAUGGAACAGAACGAGAAGUAGAUGGAGCAUAUAGUCCGAGGGAUCAUUCUCACUAUGGAGGGGAAGACCACAAUGUUGAAUUUGAUCAUGAGGCUAUCUUGGGUAGUACACAAGAAGCAGAAGAAUUUGACCAUUUGCCUCCAGAAGAAGCAAAAAAGAGAUUAGCUGUAUUGCUUACAAAAAUGGAUGUGGAUAGCAAUAAAGAAAUCACUACCACAGAGCUGAAGCAAUGGAUUCUCAGGUCUUUCAAAUCACUUUCAGAAGAAGAAUCUCGAGAAAAGCUGGCUGAAGUUGACUUAAACAAGGACAAUCAAGUAACAUGGAAUGAGUACAAAUCUGAAACUUAUGGCGUAGAUGAUGAAGUUGAAGAUGGAAUUUUUUCCGGACAAGAGCAUGUUGAAGAAAAGGCACUAAUGAAAAAUGACAAAGAACUCUUUCAAACAGCUGACAUGAAUAAUGAUGGAAUAUUAAAUUCUGAAGAAUUUUUAGCAUUUACCCAUCCAGAAGAAGCACCUCACAUGCUGGAAGUAAUUCUUAGACAAACACUUAAUGAAAAAGAUGUUAACAAGGAUGGCUUUAUAGACUUUCAAGAAUAUAUUGGAGAUCGAGAUUCAGAUGUCGAAGUAGCGAAACAAAAAGAGAUGUUUGAAUCUGAGUUCGACACUAAUGGGGACGGACAUUUAGAUUCCAUCGAAUUUAAGCGAUGGGUAGCCCCCAGUAACGAGGCAAACAAAAGACAAGGCGUGGUUAAUUGCCGAAAAGGAAAAAUUUGAUCACGAGCUGGACUCUGACGCAGAUGGGCGUUUGGGUGCUAGGGAAAUCAUCGGUUGGGUCUUACCAAGCACUGAGGAGAUUGCUGGUGAAGAGGUUGAACACCUUUUUGCGUCAGCUGAUGACGACCAUGAUGGUUUGCUAUCCUUCGAAGAGAUUCUCGAACACCAUGACGUUUUCGUAGGAUCCGAAGCGACAGACUACGGAGAUCAUCUCAAUA
rnacentral:misc_RNA from 1 species